UUCAUUAGGUCGGAGCAAAAGUAUUUUCUCAAAAAUAUGUCAAAUAAUCACAUGCUUUCUUUUUUGGUUUUUGGUUUUCGGUUUUUUUGUGUUUACCACAUGUGUCGAAAUUAAUAGAGAUCUUGUAAGGUGUGGAGACUGUACUGCGUAUGCACUGGAUAAUUGCAUAGUUGAAAACGGUACGGGGUACUCUGUAUACUCCCAAUCUGCUGCAGCUCCUAGUGCUCGCUCAGAAUAUAGUUAUUUGCCCAAGGGAACAUCGGACUUGAGCGUGUGCAUUCCCAGAAAUAUGACAAUUAAGGCUUAUGAUGAUUAUUGGUCUUAUAUAUGUGUUUGGUCACCAGAACUGGGUUGUCAAAUUAUAUAUCCCAAGUAUGCGAAAAAAAUAAGUUGCCUAGUGUGCUGGCCACUGAAAGGUUUCGAAAGUACAUGUAGGUGUAGGGUACCAAAAAGAACAUUUAAGCGUGAGGAAAAGUCGGGAUCAAGCACACUCUUCACCGACAUACUGAAUCUUAUGCUUAUUGCUCUUCUUGUGUAGCAACUUGUGGACUAAUGCGAAAAGAUUAAAAUUCUAGAAAAAAUUGCUCUCAGACAACUGUAACCAUCCCGUAAAUCUUUUCAAAUUCACAAGAAAAUGCAGUUGUUUAACAAUGGUGUCACACAUUAAAGUUUAGUGCAAAUAAAAAAAGAAAACAAUGA